rnacentral:rRNA from 1 species
AGAGUUUGAUCAUGGCUCAGAAUGAACGCUGGCGGCAGGCCUAACACAUGCAAGGUCGAACGGGGUCCUUCGGGACUAGUGGCGGACGGGUGAGUAACGCGUGGGAACGUGCCCCUUGGUACGGAAUAGCCCUGGGAAACUGGGAGUAAUACCGUAUGUGGUCGAGAGACGAAAGAUUUAUCGCCAAGGGAUCGGCCCGCGUUGGAUUAGGUAGUUGGUGGGGUAAUGGCCUACCAAGCCGACGAUCCAUAGCUGGUUUGAGAGGAUGAUCAGCCACACUGGGACUGAGACACGGCCCAGACUCCUAUGGGAGGCAGCAGUGGGGAAUCUUAGACAAUGGGGGAAACCCUGAUCUAGCCAUGCCGCGUGAUCGAUGAAGGCCUUAGGGUUGUAAAGAUCUUUCAGGUGGGAAGAUAAUGACUGUACCACCAGAAGAAGCCCCGGCUAACUCCGUG